rnacentral:lncRNA from 1 species
GGCAAUUCACCUUUUCUUUAAAUACUCAUGUCACAUUUGUGCUGUUGCCAAUGCUUCUCAGACCCUCCAGAUGAGGACAUUUCCCUGAGGAGGUGGCUAUGAUGGUAGAACUUACAAGACUUCAGUGGACAUAAGUACAAGUAUCACACAAAGACAUUCUGGAGAAUGGCAGAAAAGUGAGCGAAGCCAGAAAAACAACACUUCAAAAGGUCUGUGGAGGAGACGGGGUCAAGGUGGCAGGCAAGAUGGUCAAAUAGAAGUAGCUUCAGUCUGCAGCUCCCAGUGAGAUCAACACAGAAGGCAGGUGGUUUCUGCAUUUCUAACUGAGCCUCUGCUGGUGAUACCCAAGCAAACAGGGUCUGGAGUGGACCUCCAGCAAACUCCAGCACACCUGCAGCAGAGGGGCCUGACUGUUAGAAGGAAAACGAACAAACAGAAAGGAAUAGCAUCAACAUCAACAAAAAGGACAUCCACACAAAAACCCCAUCUGAAGGUCACCAGCAUCAAAGACAAAGGAAACAAUGCCAAGAAUACGUUAAUCUAAACCCAUGAUGUUUCUACAUCUCAAAGAACAGAGAGAAAAGGAAACUGGAGAGAGGCCAGAAGUGACCAACUCUAUUCCCUCAUUUCUGUGUUAUACUCCCUUUGUCUAAUCUUCCCUACCCUACCAGGUGGUUUAAGAAUUUUAUCCUUUCUCCAGACUAGAAGAGGAAGUGGGGGCCGGAAUUAGGUGUAUACAAAUUGUUGGAAAGCCUUUGUGUGGAUUUGGAGGGCUGAAGUAGAGUAUCAUUUUUACAAAGCAGCCCAAGCCUCUAAUCUGAGCAGGAAGAUUCACACUCAUUCUCUGGCAUGAGUCCUAUCAGGAGGAUCAAUGAAGCCAAGGCUGUAGAAAUAAAUAAUUAAUCUCUCCACCCAAGGAGGCUAGUAAACAAUAUUCAAUACGUGAAUACUGAGUUCUGCCAAGAGGAAGAAGCAUAUAAACCAGGCAACUGCUGAACGCAUUGCCAAAAAGGGAGACUUACGCAUCAUUCACUAAAGCUUUCCAAAAACUAAAUCAGAUCCAAGAACAGAUAAACUCCUGCAGAAUGACAAUGGUGGAGAAAUUGACCUCCCAGCAUUGCAGACUUACAUCAGUUGUUCUGAUGUUCUUAGUUAUAUCAGAUUCCUUCCAGAAUCUUCUAAAUAUAUCAGACGGUCAGACACAACCCCAGGCCCUAAUAAAAAACCCUGAUGCUGGCCUACAGAUGUGCAAUUUAAUAAACUUUCUCCAUGAUUCUGGUACACAUCCAACAUAGAAGAACCACUUAGUACUUCUCUCUGGCUCAUAUUUCUUCCACUAUUUACUAAAUGUCGACCUUAGGCUAAUUUCUUAAAUCCGUGUCCAAGGGUUUCUUUAAAUGGAGAUAAUAUUACCUUAUCGUCAAUCUAUUGUAAGAAUUAGAUAAAAGGGUGCAUGCGAAGGACCAAGCAGUGUAGAUGUCACACUGUAAGUGCUUAAUACGUGUCUCAGCUUAUUAUUCUGCAAGAGAAGUUAACUACCUAAUAAAUUGUGUAGAUAUCAAGUGCCCCUCAUGGCACUUUAAUCAAAGAAAUCUGUUGUUAAUUCCUAUUGUAAACCUCAGUUGCUACAUCAGCCAGCUCUUCAAAGGGAUAAAUAUGACAUUAUUAUUUUCUAAAUGACUUUUAUUUUCUAAAUGCUCUUAGAGUGUUUGAUCCCCCGGAAGCUAUCAUCAUUAAUGAUUUCUCGAGUAUACUGAGAGUAAUGUUUAGGUGUAAAGGAAGUGAAAAGUAAACAUGAAUGCUUCUUUGCUCUUCAAAGAUGAAGGUUCUGAGAUCAAAGAGCCUGAGUGAUGUGACCACAUCCCUAAAGAUGGUGCCAAAUGCCGCCCUACUGAUAAGGCUGCUGUGGGGACCGUGCACCUGUGUUCUUCUCUUAAUACUUACUCUGGGUCUCUGUUGACAAGGAACAUUUUGAAGUUUCUAAGAAUUAUUUAAUAACCCUAAUAAUCAUUGUUUCUUUAGUGACUCAAGUCUACACCUGUAAUGCUCAGGUUUUUCUUUCUUUUUUCAAUCGGGGAACGUAUUUUUUUUUUCUUGUAGUCUCUUAAAUAACAGAUUAUAUAAUAAAAAAGAGAAACUUUCUCAAGAAGGAAGCUAUCUGCACUGCUCUGCUGAACUCUAAGCCACCUCUGCUACUAAAACAGAUAGUAGCCCCUGUUGGGGUCUCUGGAGCAGGGAAAUCCAAGCUGUCAUGGAGCAUGUAUUCAGUAACCAAAGAGGAUUCUACAAGUUUUGUUUUUCUGGCUAGGUGACUUCAGCCCAUCAAAGACAAAGAUGAAAUAAAAUAAUCUGAAUGAUC